UUGGUGAUGAACAGCAGUAUGGAAGUGUA
rnacentral:piRNA from 1 species